UACGUAGGGGGCAAGCGUUGUCCGGAUUUAUUGGGCGUAAAGAGCGUGUAGGCGGCCAGGUAGGUCCGUUGUGAAAACUCGAGGCUCAACCUCGAGACGCCGAUGGAAACCCCCUGGCUAGAGUCCGGAAGAGGAGAAUGGAAUUCCUGGUGUAGCGGUGAAAUGCGCAGAUAUCAGGAAGAACCCCCGUGGCUAAGGCGGUUCUCUAGUACGGUACUGACGCUGAGACGCGAAAGCGUGGGGAGCGAACAGG
rnacentral:rRNA from 1 species